CCCACCGGCCGCCGCGCCUGCGCACUCGGCACCGCCCACCCGCACAGCCACCGCCUCUGCCGCGAGCGGCNGGGCUGGGCCCCGCCGGGAGCGAUGGGGAGGACCCAGCGGGCGCGGCGCCCCGUGGGUGGACGGCGGGGCGGGCCGCGGGGUGGGGGUGGGGGGGCUGCGGGCGCGAUCGAGGCUGGAGGCGAGCAGGAAUGAGGCCAGGCCACGACUCGUCCUUCCCGAAAGAACUUUCCCACGGUCCCUCCGAGAGCUCAUGCUCCAAGAGGAAACACAACCAACAGAGUAGAAUGAUGCCACAAGGCCCCUGUCCCAGACUCGGAGCCCAGGGAAGGCUUCCUGGAGGAAGCAACAGCAACGACUUUGGACUUUGUUCCAAAGGCAUUGGGGCACCACUGAAAGGUUUUCAGCAAAGACGUGCUCUGCCAGGUUGUUGUGUUAAAAAGACCACUCUAGCUGUCUUUUGGGUAGUAGAUAAAAUGGCCCAGGAAGAACGCACAGAAUGAGAACAGGGCCUCAAACACAACAUCAUCGCCAACAAUAACAACCGAGUUAUUUCACAGCUAGAAAAGGAACUCACGAAAGAAACAAAGGAGGGACCACGGGGAUUAAAGAAAAACCGGAGAGAAUGUGGCAACCCUAAAUCAAGGGAAGAACGUUGCAAGAAGCAGAGUCAAGUGCUGCCCAGAGAAAGGGUAAGAUGGCAAUUGGACAUUGACGCUGUGUUUGGCAAUAGGAUUAUUGACGACCUUGUUGAAAGCAGCUUUAGAGGAAUAGAAGUUCCACUCGAUCAAAUCAAUCACAUCAGUGCUCAUCUGGCCCCUUUACUUACCACCUGCCUCUACACCGAUGUCUUCAAAGGUCUAGCUUCAGCCCAGACCUCUUUGAGCUCCACACCCAGAUACAACUGACCCCUCGAUAUCUCCAAGACCAACACUCUCCCCAUCCGAACCUCGGCAAAUGGUACCUCCCUUCUUCCAGUUGCAUGGUCCCUCCAUGACAAACCCCCUUUUCCUCACCACCAGGCCUGUAUCUAACCCACUGCCACAUCCGGUCAUUUCUUUCUACCCACGUGUUCCUCUGUCUCCACUGCCAACAUCCAAGCUCAAGCCACCAUCUUCUCUCUCACCUGGACCACGGUGGCAGCCUUCUAGCUGGUUUCUCACCUCAACUUGGGUACCCCUCUAAUCUGUUCCCCACACAGCAGCUGGAGUCAUUGUUUGGCCACGCCCACGGCACGCAGGCAGGUCCCUGGCCAGAGGUCAGACCCAAGCCACAGCAGUGACACUGUUGGAUCCUUAACCCGCUAGGCCAUCAGGGAACUCCUGGAGUAAUCUUUUAAAAAUAUAAAGUUGAUCACUUCACUUCCUUGAUUCAAAUCCUUCGGUAGCUGCCAGGACUCUAAAGGUAGCAGAGUGCUGCUCUACCGGCAGGAUUCUAGUAGAAAGAAAGAGCGAAAGAACGAAAGAAAGAAGGAAGGAAGGAAAGAAAAUCCAAAUGCGGUGGAGGUGUGGGAUCCCCCAGCCCAGCUGAGGAGGUUGAAGCUCCAGCUCGGAUUCAACCCCUGGCCAGGGAACUUCCAUAUGCCACAGGUGCGGCCAUAAAAACACACACACAUACAUAAAUGUUGAUGGGAAGGAGCCAGAAGAGAGGGAGCUCAGCAGAAGGAGUGAGAGCCAUGAGGCUGCAGAAGGGAAUGGGACUUAGGGCAGGAGCCAGAAGAACCUGGGCCUGGUGGGUCUCAGACGUGAGCAGGCCCACCUCUUCUACGGCACAGGAAUGAAAGCUGACAUCUGUAGGUUUGGUGGCAGGAAGUCCUACUAAGACCUUUCCAUGAAUCUUGGUAACAUAAGCAGCAAGUCUGGAUUCUCCAAGAAGCUCAGCCUAUUUUACAGACAUCAUUCCAUUCACGCAAAAAGGAAGCAGACGUUUUCUUCAUCAUUGACUGUACUGACGCACUACAGAGCCAAAUAACAAGUUUCCAAAGCAACUCGGUAGCAGAGCUGAGAGCAGCGAUCUCCGUGUUCUCUUUAUUGAAUGAGCUUCCUCCUCAAAUUGGGCAACAGUAUGGUAAAAUGAUAAUGUGGUACAGUAAUGGCUGACACUGGUUAAGCGCUUUCUAUGUACAGGUGCUGUUCUAGUACUUUACCUGCAAUAAUGCAUUUGAUCCCCACAUUAUGAUACAGUUGAAGAUGAGGGAAACUGAACUCCAGGGAGGUUAAGUAACUUGCCCGAGGUCAACAACUGGAGGUGGCAAAACUAGGUUUUAUUUAUUUUUAAUUUUUCUUUUAGCCACCCCCAAGGAAGUUCCCGGGCCAGGGAUCAAACCCGCACCCCCACAGUGACCAGAGCUGCUGCAGUCGGCUUCUUAACCCCCUGUGCCACAGCAGGAACUCCCUCAUGAGGCUUUUAAAAGGACUAUGAAAUGACGAAAAGGGGAAAUCACUAUAUACCAGAUAUUAUUAUUAUGCUAAUCAUAAACCCUAGUAUCCUUGUCCUCUAGUUGGGUCAUAGUCUAAUAGGCGAUUGUGGAGACCCUCGGUUCCCAUAAGCAGGGCAGGAGCAGCAGAUGAGCUGAUUCUCAUCCCAUCAGCUUUAGCAUCCCUGACCAAGUCUCCUUGAUGACCAAAAGCACAUCUUGGUGCUCCCUUCCCCCUGAAUCCACUCACUACUCCCUUUGGGAACAGGUGCAGCUUAUGCCCUCACUUCUUUGAUUGGGUUGCCUGAGGUGUGACUGUCAAAAAAUAAAUAGCCUGAAUUACAGUUAAUGGCGAAGUGU
rnacentral:lncRNA from 1 species